UGCGAAUCACGUGAGUCCCUGGCGCAUUUCGGGUUCCGGCGGCUGCAGCCGGAGUUCAAGCCUAAGCAGUUGGAAGGGACCAUGGCCAACUGUGAGCGUACCUUCAUUGCGAUCAAACCAGAUGGGGUCCAGCGGGGUCUUGUCGGAGAGAUUAUCAAGCGUUUUGAGCAGAAAGGAUUCCGCCUUGUUGGUCUGAAAUUCAUGCAAGCUUUUGAAGACCUUCUCAAGGAACACUACAUUGACCUGAAGGACCGUCCGCUCUUUGCCGGCCUGGUGAAAUACAUGCACUCAGGGCCGGUAGUUGCCAUGGUCUGGGAGGGGCUGAAUGUGGUGAAGACAGGCCGAGUCAUGCUCGGGGAGACCAACCCUGCGGACUCCAAGCCUGGGACCAUCCGUGGAGACUUCUGCAUACAAGUUGGCAGGAACAUUAUACAUGACAGUGAUUCCAUGGAGAGUGCAGAGAAGGAGAUCGGCUUGUGGUUUCACCCUGAGGAACUGGUAGAUUACAUGAGCUGUGCUCAGAACUGGAUCUAUGAAUGA